rnacentral:rRNA from 1 species
CUCUUAUAAAAUUUUAAGUAAUCUCUGCCCUAUGAUUUUUAAAUGGCCGCAGUAUCUUGACUGUGCAAAGGUAGCAUAAUCAUUUGUCCCUUAAUUAGGGGCUGGAAUGAAGGAGGCGACGAAAUGUGAUCUUUUGAAUUUAGAGGUGAGAUUGACAUAAGAGUCAGAAGGCUCUUAUUUUUCUGGGGGACGAUAAGACCCUAUAAAACUUAAUCCUUCCCCGUAACUCUAUAGACAAAAGUUUGGGGGGGGAUUCAACUGGGGCGGUUCUUACUUUAACUGUAUAAGCUUUAAUAUAAAAAAUAAACUUGAAUAACUUAAUUUAAAAUUUGAACAAGUUACUUUAGGGAUAACAGCAUAAUCCUCUCAGAGAGUCCAAAUCGGCGGGGGGGAUUAUGACCUCGAUGUUGAAUUGAGAAAAUUUCUAAUGGGCAGCACCGUAGAGAAUUAGUCUGUUCGACUAUUAAAUUCUC